rnacentral:rRNA from 1 species
CUGCUUAACACAAGUUGAGUAGGGAAAGUUUUUCGGUGUAGGAUGAGACUAUAUAGUAUCAGCUAGUUGGUAAGGUAAUGGCUUACCAAGGCUAUGACGCUUAACUGGUCUGGGAGGAUGAUCAGUCACACUGGAACUGAGACACGGUCCAGACUCCUACGGGAGGCAGCAGUAGGGAAUAUUGCGCAAUGGGGGAAACCCUGACGCAGCAACGCCGCGUGGAGGAUGACACUUUUCGGAGCGUAAACUCCUUUUCUUAGGGAAGAAUUCUGACGGUACCUAAGGAA